rnacentral:lncRNA from 1 species
AAACUGAUAAAAAGGGCUAGUGUAAUCCAACUGUAACAUUGUGGAGGCGACAACAACACAAGGGAGAUGAUCAUGAGAAAGGAGGGAACCGAUACACUUCAAAACAUGAAGGGCAUAACUGCAAAAUAAUGUUUAGUACAAUUCAAAUUUUGUGUUCCUUGCAACAGAUGUUUCGGAUCGAUGGAGUACAAUGCAGGAUACUUUGGUUUCCUCAUAUUCCCCUGAACAGGCAUCAUUCCAGGGGAGCUUCAAAUGAAUUAUCUAAACCAUCUAAGUCUUUGCAAACAUUCUAUCUACAUUUUUCUCAUGGAUUUGGAUUUCUCCACAGCAUACAACAUCUUCAGUUUUGACAUCUAAAUGCAAAAGCACAACAAAUGCAUUUGCAUGCAUUCCACAGAUCUGAGUCACAGAACGCCACAGCCACAAGUGGCUAUCAACCCUUCACAAACACACACACCCGUUANNN